GAUUCUGGCUCAGGAUGAACGCUAGCGGCAGGCUUAACACAUGCAAGUCGAGGGGCAGCGGGAUGUAGCAAUACAUUGCCGGCGACCGGCGGAUGGGUGCGUAACGCGUAUGCAACCUACCUUAUACAGGGGAAUAACCUUUCGAAAGGGAGACUAACACCCCAUGGUAUUGAUUUAAGGCAUCUUAGAUUAAUUAAAUAUUUAUAGGUAUAAGAUGGGCAUGCGUAUGAUUAGCUAGUUGGUAAGGUAACGGCUUACCAAGGCGACGAUCAUUAGGGGUUCUGAGAGGAAGGUCCCCCACACUGGUACUGAGACACGGACCAGACUCCUACGGGAGGCAGCAGUGAGGAAUAUUGGUCAAUGGGCGCAAGCCUGAACCAGCCAUGUCGCGUGCAGGAAGACUGCCCUAUGGGUUGUAAACUGCUUUUAUAGUAGAAGAAACACAUCUACGCGUAGAUGUCUGCCAGUAUACUAUGAAUAAGCAUCGGCUAACUCCGUGCCAGCAGCCGC
rnacentral:rRNA from 1 species